GGUGAGGUGGCCGAGUGGUUUAAGGCGCACGCUUGGAAAGCGUGUGUGCGUUAAUAGCGUACCGUGGGUUCGAAUCCCAUCCUCACCUCCA
rnacentral:tRNA from 1 species